AUUGAACGCUGGCGGCAUGCCUUACACAUGCAAGUCGAACGGCAGCACGGGGCAACCUGGUGGCGAGUGGCGAACGGGUGAGUAAUGCAUCGGAACGUACCUUUCAGUGGGGGAUAACGUAGCGAAAGUUACGCUAAUACCGCAUAUUCUGUGAGCAGGAAAGCAGGGGAUCGCAAGACCUUGCGCUGAUUGAGCGGCCGAUGUCAGAUUAGCUAGUUGGUGAGGUAAAGGCUCACCAAGGCGACGAUCUGUAGCGGGUCUGAGAGGAUGCUCCGCCACACUGGAACUGAGACACGGUCCAGACUCCUGCGGGAGGCAGCAGUGGGGAAUUUUGGACAAUGGGGGCAACCCUGAUCCAGCCAUGCCGCGUGAGUGAAGAAGGCCUUCGGGUUGUAAAGCUCUUUCGGCCGGGAAGAAAUCGUAUCAGCUAAUACCUGGUGCGGAUGACGGUACCGGCAUAAGAGGCACCGGCUAACUACGUGCCAGCCGCCGCCGCAGUAA
rnacentral:rRNA from 1 species